CUUUUUCUGACUGCUCUUUAGCAAUUGGGAAGAUAAGAGUCAUUUGCUGGCAAGGACCAUCUCAUGGAGUUCUAAGAAUGCAAUCAAAGAGGCAGAAAUCAGAGCCGGGAGAGACACCAAGCUCCAAUGACCAUGCCAUCCCAGAGAUGAUAACACAAUAAAGUAUCUUUGCAAGAACCGUGUUAGCACCUGUGCAAUGACUGGGAGGAACCCGAUGACACUGCCCUCAAGAAAAGAUCCUCAAAGCUUCAUGGAAGAUACUGCAAGGGAGCAGACUGGUAAAGAGGGAAAGCCCAGAAUCAACUUCUCUGAAUUUGAAGAGUCUUCUGUGAUUUGCCAGAACUGUUGUGAUGAAGAUUUUUCUUGGACUACUAGGCAGCCAAGCAAUUCCAAACCCUCCUUGGGACAUCUACUUCCAUUCCUUCCACUGGGUUCUGUCUGAGAGCCUGCAACCGGCAUCUCGUGCAGAUUUCAAAAUCGAAAUUCAGCAUUAUCGUAAUUACACAGAAAUAGCAUCAUAAUAUAUUGUCGUGGUUUGUUCUGUCUCAUUUGUAUUGCCAAAAAUUUUUUUUUUGUGGCCCAAGUCCCACUGAAUAGACAUCCUUACUGCACUGCCUUCAUUUUGUCAUGAACUUAUUUUUCCUGAGAAGUUUAAUUUAAGAGUUAAUAUCAAGGACUUUUCUG
rnacentral:lncRNA from 1 species